rnacentral:rRNA from 1 species
UACAGAGGGUGCCAGCGUUAUUCGGAAUUAUUGGGCGUAAAGGGCGCGUAGGCGGCCAUGCGUGUCUUCCGUGAAAUCCCUCGGCUUAACCGAGGACGUGCGGAAGAAACUGCAAGGCUCGAGUCCGGAAGAGGGGGGCGGAAUUCCCAGUGUAGCGGUGAAAUGCGUAGAUAUUGGGAGGAACACCAGUGGCGAAGGCGGUCCCCUGGGCCGGAACUGACGCUGAGGCGCGAAAGCGUGGGUAGCAAACGGG